rnacentral:rRNA from 1 species
GACGAACGCUGGCGGCGUGCCUAUACCAUCAAAUUGGACGCACAGGUUAUACCGUAGCUUGCUACCCCCUAGCCUGGGAGUUGCGAACGGGUGAGUAACGCGUAGGUUACCUGCCUGGUAGCGGGGGAUAACUAUUGGAAACGAUAGCUAAUACCGCCUAAUAUUGGUUAUUGCAUGAUAAUUUAUUGAAAGGUGCAAUUGCACCACUACCAGAUGGACCUGCGUUGUAUUUGCUAGUAGGUGAGGUAACGGCUCACCUAGGCGACGAUACAUAGCCGACCGGAGAGGGUGAUCGGCCACACUGGGACUGAGACACGGCCCAGACUCCUACGGGAGGCAGCAGUAGGGAAUCUUCGGCAAUGGACGAAAGUCUGACCGAGCAACGCCGCGUGAGUGAAGAAGGUUUUCGGAUCGUAAAGCUCUGUUGUAAGAGAAGAACGGGUGUGAGAGUGGAAAGUUCACACUGUGACGGUAUCUGACCAGAAAGGGACGGCUAACUACGUG